rnacentral:rRNA from 1 species
GAUGAACGCUAGCUACAGGCUUAACACAUGCAAGUCGAGGGGCAGCAUGACUGAAGCUUGCUUCAGUUGAUGGCGACCGGCGUACGGGUGCGUAACGCGUAUCCAACCUGCCCUCUACUCCGGAACAGCCCGUCGAAAGGCGGAUUAAUGCCGGAUGGUGUCCACUUGGUGCAUGCCAUGGUGGACUAAAGGUAACGGUAGAGGAUGGGGAUGCGACUGAUUAGGUAGACGGCGGGGUAACGGCCCACCGUGCCGACGAUCAGUAGGGGUUCUGAGAGGAAGGUCCCCCACACUGGAACUGAGACACGGUCCAGACUCCUACGGGAGGCAGCAGUGAGGAAUACUGGUCAAUGGGCGAGAGCCUGAACCAGCCAAGUAGCGUGAGGGAAGACUGCCCUAUGGGUUGUAAACCUCUUUUGAUUGGGAACAAAGAGCGCCACGUGUGGUGCGUUGCGUGUACCUUUCGAAUAAGCAUCGGCUAAUUCCGUGCCAGCAGCCGCGGUAAUACGGAAGAUGCGAGCGUUAUCCGGAUUUAUUGGGUUUAAAGGGAGCGUAGGCGGGCUGUUAAGUCAGCGGUCAAAUGUCAGGGCCCAACCUUGGCAUGCCGUUGAUACUGGCGGCCUUGA